rnacentral:lncRNA from 1 species
AGGUACUCACAACGAAGAUCACACAUGACUCUUUAUUUUCUAUUAUGAAGCAACAGCCUGAAAAAACAGCCACUUAUUAAAUACUGAGAAUUGCAAGUUUGGGCAUCAAGAGACACACUCACGCGGGGAAGAACACGUGAAGACACAGGGAGGAGACAGGGUUUACAUAAAGUCAAGGAGAAGGGCCUGAAACAUUCUUCUUUCACAGUCUCGCAUAAGGAACCAACCCUGCCGAAACCUUGAUCUCAGACUUCCAGCCUCAAGAACUGUGAGAAAAUAAAUUUCUGUUGUUUAAGCCAUUCAGCUUGUGGAACUUUUAUAUGAUGACUCUGGCAAACUAAUAUGGCAUUACACACAGGGGAUAAGAAAAUAAUCCAAAUAAGUAUAUGUAUCAACUACCAUAAGAGCAGAUUGAGUUCCUAUCCUAAAGGAAAAUAC